rnacentral:lncRNA from 1 species
UGUUGUUGUUGAGAUCCGAAGUCCUGGAGUUUUUGUUGUUGUUUUUUUGUUGUUAUUGAUGUUGUUUUUGUCGUUGUUCUUGUUCUUGUUUUUGAGACUCUAAACCCUAGAGGUUGUUUAUUGAUGUUGUUGUUAUUGAUAUUGUUUUUAUUUAUUAACAUUGUUGUUCUUGAUGUUAUGUUUGAUGUUAUUGUUGUUUUCUU